GUAUAUGAGGUGAUUAAUUGGAGGGCAAAUCAAGUGCCAGCAGCCGCGGUAAUACUUGUUCCAAGAGUGUGUAUGAUGAUUGAUGCAGUUAAAAAGUCCGUAGUUUAUUUUUUUAAGAAGCAAUAUGAGGUGUACUGUAUAGUUGGGAGAAAGAUGAAAUGUGACGACCCUGACUGGACGAACAGAAGCGAAAGCUGUACACUUGUAUGUAUUUUUUGAACAAGGACGUAAGCUGGAGGAGCGAAGAUGAUUAGAUACCAUUGUAGUUCCAGCAGUAAACCAUGCCGACGAUGUGAUAUCGAAAUGUUAAUUUGUAUUACAUAAUAGAAAUUUGAGUUUUUUGGCUCUGGGGAUAGUAUGAUCGCAAGAUUGAAAAUUAAAGAAAUUGACGGAAGAAUACCACAAGGAGUGGAUUGUGCGGCUUAAUUUGACUCAACGCGAGGUAACUUACCAAUAUUUUAUUAUUUUGAGAGAACAGUUUUUGUUUGAGAAUGAUAAUAGUGGUGCAUGGCCGUUUCAAUGGAUGCUGUGAAGUUUUGAUUAAUUUCAACAAGACGUGAGACCCUUAUUUUUUAUUAAAGACAGACACAAUCAGUGUAGGAAGGAAAGGAUUAAAACAGGUCCGUUAUGCCCUCUGACAUUUUGGGCUGCACGCGCAAUACAAUAGAUAUA
rnacentral:rRNA from 1 species